rnacentral:rRNA from 1 species
UGGCGGCAGGCCUAACACAUGCAAGUCGAGCGGUAGCACAGAGAAGCUUGCUUCUUGGGUGACGAGCGGCGGACGGGUGAGUAACGCGUGGGAAUCUACCUGGUAGUGGGGGACAACAGUCGGAAACGACUGCUAAUACCGCAUACGCCCUUCGGGGGAAAGUGGGGGAUCUUCGGACCUCACGCUAUCAGAUGAGCCCGCGUCGGAUUAGCUUGUUGGUGAGGUAAAGGCUCACCAAGGCGAUGAUCCGUAGCUGGUCUGAGAGGAUGACCAGCCACACUGGGACUGAGACACGGCCCAGACUCCUACGGGAGGCAGCAGUGGGGAAUAUUGGACAAUGGGGGCAACCCUGAUCCAGCCAUGCCGCGUGUGUGAAGAAGGCCUUCGGGUUGUAAAGCACUUUCAGCUGUGAGGAAAGGCGAGUGGUUAAUACCCGCUUGCUGUGACGUUAACAGCAGAAGAAGGACCGGCUAACUCCGUGCCAGCAGCCGCGG